UACGGAGGGUGCAAGCGUUAUCCGGAAUGAUUGGGCGUAAAGCGUCCGCAGGUGGCUAUGUAAGUCUGCUGUUAAAGAGUCUAGCUCAACUAGAUAAGAGCAGUGGAAACUACAAGGCUAGAGUACGUUCGGGGCAGAGGGAAUUGCUGGUGUAGCGGUGAAAUGCGUAGAGAUCAGGAAGAACACCAGUGGCGAAGGCGCUCUGCUAGGCCGUAACUGACACUGAGGGACGAAAGCUAGGGGAGCGAAUGGG
rnacentral:rRNA from 1 species